rnacentral:rRNA from 1 species
UACAGAGGGGGCUAGCGUUAUUCGGAAUUAUUGGGCGUAAAGGGCGUGUAGGCGGUUCGUUAAGUCUGAUGUGAAAGCCCCGGGCUCAACCUGGGAAGUGCAUUGGAAACUGGCGAACUUGAGCACGGGAGAGGGCAGUGGAAUUCCUAGUGUAGGAGUGAAAUCCGUAGAUAUUAGGAGGAACACCGGUGGCGAAGGCGGCUGCCUGGACCGAUACUGACGCUGAGACGCGAAAGCGUGGGGAGCAAACAGG